rnacentral:rRNA from 1 species
CGCCGCGGUUAUACGAGCAGACUCAAGUUGAUGAUAUAUCGGCGUAAAGCGUGGUUAGCAAUUCUAGUACAACUAAAGUCGAGCCCCUUCCUAGCUGUAUAAUGCUUAUGAAGGCCGAAAGAUCUUAAACGAAAGUAACUUUAAGCGUUAUGUGACGCCACGAAAGCUGGGGCC